rnacentral:lncRNA from 7 species
AACAGCUGAGGAGAGUUUCGAGGGACCAUGGGGAUCUCAGACUAAAGACUUGCUCACAGCUUGAGUUCUUACACAUUACUGUCUCUCAUAAAUAUGCACCAACAUACAAAUAGUUUCUAUUUUGAAGAUACAAAAUGAAAUAUCAACAGAUGAAAUCCAAAAAUACAGCCAUAGAGAAAGCUGCUCUUCCAGAUGGAUCUGCUUUUUAGAUACUUGUCUGGCUCUUCGUCUUCAGUGGAAUGUUUUCACUGGUAACUUCAGCGAAGUGAUAUGACAGCUUAUCUUAUGAAAUUUGGCCAAAAGGCUAAUGAAAUCAAUAGAAGCUUUUUCAUGAUCUGCAGUGUACAAGAGAUGAAGUUUUUAUAUGUUUCUACAUAUACUUUGCAAAACGUAUUAUACUGUAUGUGAUUUAGGGAAAAGUUUAUAGACUGCCAAAUCACAUUUUACUUGCCAGCUCUUUUUGCCAUAUUAACCAGUUUUGGGGUUUUUUUUUCUUUAAUUAUUUCCACAUGAUUUUUUUCCCCAUUAGUAAUUAUCAUUAAUAUACAGUAUAUCUUGGUAUAGUUUGAAUUGUUGAUAGAAAUAUUUAUUUCAUCUAGAGCUGUUGUCUUUGUAGCUGCAGUUUCCUUUGGCUCUCCCUAGGCAUCUGAAAUAACAGAAUAAUACAUUCCAGGUUCAACCUGUAUCUUUAAUGAAGGUAUUGAGUAUAGAGUACAUAAAAAGCUGACAUCAUUCUUUGGAAUUAAUGUUAGUAAUACAUGUAAAAGGAUUGGAGAAUUCAAUCUCUGCCCAUCAAAAAUAGAUUUUAAUUGUAUAUGGUGAAGAUCUUAAGUGUCCUGACUGGAAAGAAUAUUAAUACUGAGUGGUAGCAAAUAGAUCUUGAUUUAAUAAAAUAUCUUUAUUUCCUGCUAACAGAAAAUGAUCACAGAAUUGUUUAAAAAGGAUGAGCCAUUGAAAUCACCUUGUUAGAUAUAAAUACUUAAUAGCAUCCAUUAUAAUGAGAUCAAAAGUGAUGGCUGUAAGGUCAAGUGUGAGAAGGAGAGAGUUCAAAGACAGUGUAGACCCUUCAACAUAAUAUAACCUCACUUUAAAAAAGAGAGGAAAUGCAUUGCUUGAUGAGAAGAAAGGCCUCCGUGUAAGCUUGAUAAAUAUUCAGGGUUUGUGUGUAAUGAGAAAUGGAAUCUGAUGAAUGAAAUGUCAUGGUAAAAUCAUUUUAAUCAAUAAUGGAAUGUGACAUUAUCCAGACCGUAGUAAUAUGUCUUCUCCUUUUUAUUCUUUCCCUGUAGUAAGCUUUAAUUCCAUUUUCUUUCUUUCUUUUUUUAAUAGUUUUUUUUUAACUUAAGAUUGGUUAUGUUAAUGUAAUGUUGUUAUACUUCUUGUAACCUUUCUUACACAGUGAAAAUAUUGAAUAUGUAAUGCACAAUUCUUGACAUAAUCUUAGGUAGACGUGUAGUAUGUGAAGAAGCUGAAUUCUUAUAUAUUCAAAAUAUAAUUGGCCAUCUUCUCCCCAAAAUGUGAUGCUUUUAAAUGUAAAAAUGUGACUGGAUUACAGUAAAUAUCAGAUGUAUAGGGAGUGCUUAUUCAGAUACUUAAGUAUGUAAUAAUGACCUCAGUGUAAAUAACUGUGAAUAAAUUAUGUAAUAAUAUAUGCUAGUUGUUGUUUAGUUUGUUGUAAUGCUUACUUUACCACAAUAAAAUUCAGUUUAUUUUCAG